AGUGUAACCUCUAAACUAGUGUAGUGUGUAAACUGGCGCAAAUGUUCAAGAAAUCGAAAAUAAAUUUUCGUCAAAGAGUCGCGACAAGUGAUUCUGACGCGGAAAAGAAUCACAUUGGAUUCUACCGGAGCCGAAAGAGCAAAAGAAACACAAAAUACCCAAAUCUUCCUUCGUGCUGACUGCUGAUUUUCGUCCACGAAGAAGGCGUCCAAAGGUUCACCUGACCACCACAACUCUUUUCGGAGUGUCUGAAGUUUGUGUACGUGCUGGGAAGCCACUUACAAUGAAACUGGGCAUUACCGGUUCUCCAACUCCCAUUGUCAUCUGGGCUAAAGAAGGAAAACCCAUUCCAAGGGCUCGCACCUCAUUACUAUACUACACUAGAGCUCCCAAAAGCAGAUCAUUGUGACACUGGAAACUACCUUGUGACUGUUGAAAACGAACAUGGCAGAGAUUCUGCAGAUAUUCCGGUCUUAGUUAUUGACAAGCCUGGACCCCCGGACGGUCCUUUGGAGGUCAGUGAUGCGUUUGCGGACUCCUGCCAAUUGGCUUGGAAACCACCUCAGGACAAAGGAAACUAACCAAUAAUCGUUGAGUCUUAUUAAUUACAAUUUUUAUUCUUUGAUUAAGGCUUGUUUACCAUGAAUACAACUAUUGAAAAUGAAAUUGUUGUUCUUGGGCAUAUUUUGUUUAGAAAUCAUUUUCAAUGAUUUAAACUGAACUUAUUUAAUGACAGAAAAUAUAUUUGUGUUAGUGUUUGACACAACAAUAUAUCUCUUAAGUUACCUAUUUCAUUCAAUUGAAAACAAUAUUCAAGUUUUAGAUGUUGCCACGUAAACCGAUUAUGGAAUGUACUCUUGAUUUAGGUUACACAGUAGAAAAAUUCCAGGAGGGCUUGUACUUCUGGGAAAAGGUGCCUGGCAUGCCGAUGUGCAAGUCCAUAAUAGUCACUGGACUGAAGACUGGAGUCAAGUUCAAGUUCAGGGUCAUGGCUGAGAACAUAUACGGAAUAGGAGAGCCCUUAGAGACAGAUUUCCCAGUGUUAGUCAAGAAUAGAUUUGAGUCCCCAAAGGUUCACCUGACCAACACAUCUCUUUCUUGAGCGUCUGAAGUUUGUGUAUGUGCUGGGGAGCCACUUACGAUGAAACUGGGCAUUACCGGUUCUCCUACUCCCACUGUCAUCUGGACCAAAAAAGGAAAACCCAUCCCAAGGGCGCGCACCUCCAACACUAAUGACUGUACUACACUAGAGCUCCUAAAAGCACAUCAUGGGGACACUGGAAACUACCUUGUGAUUGUUGAAAACGAUCAUGGCAGAGAUUUUGCAGAUAUUCCGUUCAUCAUUAUUGACAAGUGUGGACCCCCCGAAGGUCCUCUGGAGGUCAGUGAUGUGUUUGCGGACUCCUGCUGAUUGGCAUGGAAACCACCUCAGGACAAAAGAAACUUACCAAUUAUCGGUUACACAGUAGAGAAAUGCCAGGAGGGCUCAGACUUCUGGGAAAAGGUGCCUGGCAUACCGAUGUGCAAGUCCAGAAUAGUC